CAGCAGCAGCGCCGUCCUCGGAUUAACGAUUCACUGUCAUUGGUUCGAUCGUCAAAGUGUUGGAGGCGCAUAUUUCAGGCGAAACCGUAAUUUUUAAAGGCGGUGCGACGGCGCGUCGUGCGAUGCUGAGCGUCGAUAGCGGUGGGGCCCUGAGGUAUAUCUCCAUCGGGGGCCGGGCCGCAGCAGGCCGCAGUGCAGUGGACUGGUCGUUUGGGCGGUCAGAUAUUUGGCCCCGCAGUGGGCCUGCCAACUGGCUGUCAUCGGGCUGCUAAAGGCAUCCGUCUGAGCGGCACGUGUCUGCAGGCUCCAGGGGUAUUAUGAUCAGGAAGAAGACGACACUCAGUUAAGCACACCUUUAAGAAAGACGUUGAAAGAAGGUUGGCUCGAAGCGGAUAUAGCGAUGAAGUACUUCAAGCAUAUAGGACUGGUCCGGAUAUUCACACCAGAAACCAAACUUGUUGAAAAGUAGGCAGAUUUACUGGCAGUGUUCUACACGUGGUCUGCAGUGUCAUGAUAUUUUUCUACUUUUGUUUUUCGUCAGUUGGUGCGUCCGAAGAGACGUUUUCCGACACAAACAACCCAUUUCAUCCUGGCCCUGACCUGGACGCGGGCGGACACACAAAGAUAGUCGUACUAUCCUUGUCUCGACGGUUUGAUCUCAAAACGAUCAGGUGGAAAGAAGAGAAAAAGUCCGGAAUAAAUGAUGAGAACUCAUUUUACGUAGAUGUAAGAAACUGCAGCCAAGUCCUUUUUACGUUGUCCUUCCGCGCCCUCACGUGUGAUGCGUUUCGGGCUCAUCUCUGAGCGAACGUCAUCUUGACCUCAUGUGUGUGUGUGUGUCCACCUGGUUAGCAGGCACCCUGUGCACUGCUGCCCCCGGCCCCUCCUCCUCCCUGCCCUUCUCGCACGCGGCGGGCAGGCCGGCAGCCGGACAGGACGUGGUGGAAGGGUGGAGCGUAAUGGUCCAGAAACAUCUGCAGCUGCACGGCCCGACGAGGUUCCGUUCGAGUUCGGCCGCUUCCGCCACAACAGAGCCGAGCUCGGCCCGGCUGGACUCGGCUCGUGUCGGUAGGGUGGUCCAGGCGCGUGUGCGCAACAUGCCGUCCACCAACGUGUCGCGCGUCAGGUUCGGGGCCGGGCGAGGUGGGGAAAGGGUUUUAAAGAGUGUAUACUGACACUAGCGUGUUCUUGCUUAUUUCUCCAGUCGGCUAUGACCUCGUCAAUAGGGCAUUCUUACUGGGAAUGCCAGUUUUCUAGUGUUGUACAAAUAAAAAUAAUCACCCCCACCUUGACCCUCAAUGAUCUUAACGCUGGUCGCCUUCGUAAAGAGAAUGUCAAACUUUUGAGGGCCAACUUUUGAUAGGUGGCAGGCGCCAAAAGACGUCCAAAAUUUGUUAAUCGAAAAACAGUGCUAAAGUUUUCGCAAAGCGAGGCCACCACGUUGUUUAGAGUGUAUGGUUGUGAGUUAUCGGCUGCCUAGCUGGCCCUCCUAAUGCACGCAACAAGCAUGGCAUUUGGCGCGUCUGACCCGGAGGUUCUGAAUAAGAAGAGGAAGAAGAGUGAGGUGCACUGGGGCGACCCACCCAGUCCACGAGGUCCUGUGAUGACGCAAACUUGACAAUAGGGGACCGUUUUUCAUAAGCCGUCCUCAGAAUUGUGUGUGCGUGUGUGUGCGCGCGCUAAAACCAGAGCACACCUCAAGGAAGGACCCAUGGCAUGCGUGAAGGACAAUACGAGCGAGGGACAGGGUCGCAACAUUGUUACGGGAGGGUCAGCUCCGCACCCUGUCGGGGCGGAGGGCUCUCGGGGUCGUGGCUCUUGCUCUCCCUUUACUCUUUCGCUUGCGUGAACUUCUGUAGUGGUCAGUAAAGGGAUGGACAUGGACAAUGCCAUUUAAUUAGAUUUUAGGGACGGCUGCAGUUUGUAAUCUGGCAUAGAGGUCGUUUAAAACGGAAAAAAGGGGGAUAUGCAGCACAAUUGUGGCAUAGACUCGUAUCUUCCUUACUUUUUUUAAAAAAAAAUGCGUGUUUAACUAUUUGUCUGCUUUUAGAAAGUAUUCCUGAAAUACAGAAGAGUACUAGACAGUCCCCCUCUUUUGCUGACUUUUAUCUAUCGAAAGCUUUUCGACAGACCGCUGUUCCCCGCUCAGCUCCCCCGUCUUUUCCUGACACGGCAAAAUCAAUAAAUGAAAUCCGAAGCAUAGCAUAACGUCGCAUCGAGGGGUCGCAGGCUAUAAAUGCGGCGGUGAUAUAAAUUCAGCGACAAACAGCGGCGGCGGCCGGACAGCCCGAGUGUAGCGCUGUGAAUACUCAAGAGAAAACUGUGGAAAAAUGUAGAAAUCAAACGGAGUCGUUGACGAACUAGCAACCACUGAAACAAAGCCAGAGGAUAACUGGCAAGUUCUGAGAAUAAGAAUGAUACGAUGACAUUUCGCAAAGAUAAUAGCACGUGCCGCAGCUAUGGCGCCCGACGCAAACCUCAACGGUUUCACGAUGUGCCAAACAGUAUCGAAACCAGCAUUUACCAGUACCCCCAUUGUACACGUGAAGCCACGUACAGUGAACCUUCUUCAGGCAAUAUUGAGAUUCCGACAGCUUUACUGGAGAAACUGACCAGGGUUAUCCCCCCCCCCCCUUUUCCCCUACUGCUCCAUUGUCCCGCAACGCGCACCUUAUCCGUGCCGAAGAAAAGAUCUGGUCCAGUCGGACGACAGAGCGACAAACGUACGCGCGAGAAGUGUAUUAGAAAGAGAGCGAGAGUGUGGAUAAAAAAAAAAUGAGGGCCAAAAG